rnacentral:lncRNA from 1 species
AUGCUGAGGAAUUGUGAGGAAUUGAGUGUCCUUUUUUUUUUUUUUUUUUUUUUUUUUAAUAUAUUUCUGGUUAGCUCCGCAUUAAGAUCAGCAGAAGACCAGGUACUCAGCACAGUUAGUUCUUUCUUUCUCCUUUUCCCCUUGAAGUGGAACAUGGUCAAUAUUCAUGUAAUUAACGAUUAACGCUGAUAUGGAAAUAUACUCUGUAGUGAAUUCUUAUGAUGUGGAUUUUUGUUGUUUUUGUUACUGGUUGCUGGGAUUUUUUUUUUCUUUUCAUUUUUUUAUCUUAUUUUUUAGACACUUGUCCUGACAAUUGCUGAUAAAAGGCAGGGAGUGAACAGAAGGGCCUGGCUGGGAAUAGAGGCUCCAAAUCACUGGACUGGGCAAAAUUUUAGCUAAAUAUAAGGGCCUGGCAAAAUAUGAUUACUCUGUAACUGACUUCAUGCAGUCCUGGAUUACACCCAUGUAGACUAAAGUGUACAUUUAAACAUCUAUCACUUAUGUUAUAUCCACCAAGAAAUCUCACCCCAGAAGGUGUUUGUGCAUUUUUUAUGAUAGUCAUACCCUGCACAGAUGGCAAGUAUAUAAAUUGUAUCCUGGUUUUUGCAGCCCUGUGCAGGCCUCUGAUAUGAAAUGAAGCACAGAGCAGUGUGAUACCAAAUACUCACUGAAAUUAGAGAUAAUCCCUAUGCAAGAUGCAAAUUUGCACCAGUUGGACCAAAAAUUGCCAGUGAAAUCUUCUUAGACAUCAUAAUUGCAUUGUACCAAGUGAUGGACAAUUAGCAAGUUCAAAACUCCUUUUAGCAUAUUGAUUACAUAGCUUUUACUGUAUAUUGUCGUGAUUCUUUCCUUCUCUGCCUCUGAGGCCUUUUCCUACAAGCCCGCAAAGAGUUGUGCAUAACCUCAUUGCCUAGGUCUACUUCGCAAUUAUUUAAAGAAGCAUAUCAAACUUGUAGCUUGAAGACAGAGUUUGAUAAAUUAUCUUGUUUAUCAUAAGGGUUCCCUUACGUAUGUAACAGCCUAUGGUCAUCAUAUACUAAAUAGUUCAAAGGUACAAAUCCAUCAUAAUUCAUGUCUAAACAGUUCAACAGUUCUCAAAUUAUUUGUGGUUCAGAAUUUAAUACAGGCAUUUUAACUUUCCAUUCUUUUUUUUUUUUUUUUUGGUUCCCCAAGUAGAUGUUGCAAUAUUUUUUUUUCUUUGUAAACUACAUUUAGAUCCAUCUUCUCUUCUCCAUCAAAAGGUGACAUAUUCUCUGUAUCAACCAAGAUAUCUGAACAGAGCUAUAUAUUUGAGCUUAUAAUAAUUUUGAUAACAUGCUCUUGCUGAGUUUUUUAGUUUAAGUAAUUAGGGAGCAGGCUUUCAGUUUCAAGGAAGAAUUAUGCAGUUAUUCUGAGUUAGACACAUACCUACUCCAAAAUGUCAGUUAGCCAGAUAUUUGAGGCAUUGACAUAUAUUUAGAUAUUCCAAUGAAACAGAUGGGAAAAAAAGGUUGAGAACAGAAAAAACGUAAUUGUGAAAAAUCUUCUGAGCCACAGAAAAGGCUACUUCUCUACUUUCCAACAAAAUCCUGAGGUUGUCUUUUCAGUAAAACAUCUGUCCAAUUUUGUUACUACUGUCUAGGACGUUUCUUACCAUUGCCAUUUGAUUGCUCAUACAGAGGGAUUUAUGUUCUGGAUCACAGUACUUGAUUUCCAGGUGUGGUGUCUGGCAGUAGGCAAAUUUACUAUUAUUAAAUUUUGUUGAGUCAGCAAAUUUCCAAUAUCAUGCAAGCUCUUUCUACCUGUCUCUAUUUGAGUUAAGUUUAAUGUUUUCCACUCUUUCAAUCAGAUAUAUUCUGAUUGAAUUUAUUUUCUCUGUAUUCCCUAAACUAUAUAUAAAUAAAUAAAUAAAUAAAUGAGCCUGCGUUACCCA